UCGACAGUAGGCAGUCGAUGUUGAGCAGCAAGCCAAGCAGUGAAUUUGUGUUGAGGUAGGACAUUAGAGGUCAACAACAAAUUCUUCCAUUCCACCUUAGGAAAGCUAGGAAGCAUUACAUGGUAUAGUUUCUAAAUAAGGAAUUUGCCUAGCCUGGACAAUCCAGACAGUCUAAGUAAGAGAUCACCUUGCAGUUGUUGAU
rnacentral:lncRNA from 1 species